UGUAGCUCAGUGGUACAGCAUCUGCUUUGCAUGCAGAAAGGCCUAGGUUCAGUCCUCAGUGGCUGAU